rnacentral:lncRNA from 1 species
CUUAUGCGAUAAUAGAAGUCAUUUCUAAUUCCACACAGUUUCGUAUUUUCGUGAAUUAGAUUGCAGCUGAAUAUAUCUAAAUAGAAAUUCAGGACAUAUGACUAUCAUCUAAAUCGGAUUACUAAGAUUCAACAACAGCAUAUAAUUAAUUAGUGUAAGAUUUGACAGUUGGAAUAUUGAUGUAAAUACAGAAAGCAAAAGGUAGGUUUUGUUUAUAUUCUUUUAAAUAUUAUAUAUGUGUAUUUGCAUAAAAACAAACUUCAUUUGAUUUAGAAAGCUAAUUUUGAUUAAUUUGAAUUCUAUCCUUUGCUCUUGUUUACAUAUUACUUGCUAGUAUUUCGCACGUUAGUUUCCAAAUUUGGUUUUCUGUUAUAGAUAUUAGUUGAUGUACUGACUUAUUUUAAAACUUAUUUAAUGUUUACACAUUUCUUUGAAAACAGUCCGAUGUUAAACAAAGUGGACGUAAAUAUAGGAGAGAGCAAAAUGACCUUUAAAUCAUUUUAGAAAUCUUUUCAACAAAUUACUUUAAAAUUAAAGUUCAAGAUUUUCUCAAUAAUAAAUGUAUUUACGUUUGUAAAUAUCAAAUGAUUUUAAAACCAAUUGCAAAGAACAUAUCAAUCAUAAAGAUAACAUAACAUUGUUCAUCAUCAAGUCGAUAUAAUUAGCCUUUACACAAACUCUUUAACGGUCAGUUAAGAGUAAAUCGUUUUUAGUACCACAAGAAAAUAUUAACUAACAAAGAUAGACAAAUGCGAAAAAAAUGUGUAUAUGAAGAAAAUGUCCGUAUCACAUUUUAUAAUACUACGAUGAAAAUGAGCAAACAAUAUGAACGACAAUGCAAUCUUUAUUUAUCUUUAUUUUCGUAUCUUAUUUUAAUACAUAUUCAUUUCAAUAUAUUUUUGUCGUUUUCAUAUUUUUUUAAUGAUGUCUCCUUAUCUUCUUUUUUCCACUCUCAAUUACGUUUCUUGUAAUAAAGGACAAUAUAUCUAAGGGAUGUGUACCUUAAGUAUUCAAGAAUUGAAUGAUUCUUUUUGUUAAUUAAUUGUGGUGUAAAAGCGUUGAAUGAAGUACAUAUUGUAUGAAGAGCGAAAGCACUUCUUUCUAAAAAUGUGAGCACGGUCAACGCUUUUACAACCCUAUAAAGUUGAAAAAAGAAGCAUCCAAUACUUAUAAUUCACUUCUUUAGCUAGGAUCAUGAAAACACUUUUUAAAGUAUUUUUUAAUUUCCCUGUGCACUUUAUUGUGUGACUUCGUGUCACCAUGAAUGUUUCAUUUCAUUGUGUAAUGAAUGUCAAUUCCAGAAUGACGAGAUAUUGCUGAUAGCCAAUCAAAAUAACGUAUUAUAAUGACACAUACAUACAAUGCAAUAAUUACAGAAUAAGACUCCUCUAUAAACAACUGUUUAUGUAAAAAUAUUCGAAAAAGCUCUAGAUCUCGUCGCAAAAUAGCUUUUUCGCACAUGCGGCGUAAAUCAAACACCAAUCAAUCAACACUUGUUUUACCACUUAUGUGCAGUGAACCAUAAUGUAGUACUUUGUGCUUUUAGACUUAUAGUGCGUUUGGAUAUAAAUAUUUGGAUGUUUACAUACUUGAUUAUAAAAAUAAGAUAAAAAAAUCUGAUGAAAGAAACCAGGAUUUCGUCUACUUAAGACCCAUCAGUAACAAUCGAAUUCAAAAGUGAAAAGGCGAGAAAAGGUAUGAAUUUAUUAGAGCAUCGUGAUAGUAUUUCAGAUGAAUGUUGGUACGUGUGUAUAUUCUUUUAUUGCAAUUUGGAUCUUGUUUUAACUUUAUUCUAUUUCCGAGAACAAAAUAAUAUGUUUCAUAAGUUAAUUUCAACUGUUAGUGGAAAAUAUUAGCAAGCAAAAUCAAGGGAAUUGUGCAAAUGAUGAUACAAGCAUAAAAAUUAGCACAAAGCAUUAUUAUUAUAUACUUUUUAAGAAAAAACAGCUGGCCAAAAGAAAUUUUUAUUUUUUCAAAAUAGCCACCACCUUUUCGAAAAUGGCUAAUUUUUUCAAGAUUGAAAUAUUUAUAUUUCUGGAAAACGUUUUCUUUGACCCUCUGUGAGUAAAAAAAUAUUACCAGGUUUGGUGAAUACCUUCUUAACAUGUGACGUUUAUACUAGAAAUAAAUAUUUGACAUGUUCUUGGUUUUAGCAUGCGUGAAAAUGUUACAAAAUUCCCACUCAAACAUUUGAAUUAUUUAUUAUAUGCUUAGCGCUUUUGAAAUUUUAAUGAUGUUAUGAAUUUGUUCGAUGAUUAAGAUUUAAGGUUAUGAUACACAUGCGUUUAACAAUUUCGCGCAUGCGCAAACUAUUUAUUAAUAAAGAACGAGUACCACGCACUGCAAGGGCACAAUGAUGGAAAUCGUAGUUCAUGUAACAGAUGAGGAUUUGAAUUUCUUCAACAUAUCUUGAUCUCAUUAAUUCCUCUUAGCAUCUAGGUUAUGUUCGAGUAUAAAGUGUUGCUUUUGAUGCCACUGUUUGAAAACACGCCCUUUCAGUUGCAAUGAUCAAGCAUUCGAUGGAUAAGAUGAAAAAGGUGGUUAACUUUCUGAAUAUCGGGCAAACAGUUGGAAUGGCCAGACUUGUACGAAGAACAUACGUGUAUCGUCAUGUUUGGUGGAUUGUACAAUAAAAUGGCGUAUUAAAUUAUAAUCCUAAUGCCUUUGGUGACUAUUUUACACCACUGGGUCGAUGCCACUGCUGGUGGACGUUUCGUCCCCGAGGGUAUCACCAUCUCAGUAGUCAGCACUUCAGUGUUGACAUGAACAUCAAUUAUAUGAUCAUUUAAAUAAACUUCCUGUCUACAAAACGUUGAUUUUUUCCAAAAAUUUAGGAUGUUCUUAUCCCAGGAGUCGAUUACCUUAGCCGUAUUUGGCACAACUUUUUGGAAUCUUGGUUCCUCAAUGCUCUUUAACUUUUUACUUGUUAUAGCUGUUUUGAUAUAGGCGUCACUGAUUAGUCUUAUGUAGACGAAACACACGUCUGGCGUAUUAAAUUAUAAUCCUGGUGCCUUUGGUGACUAUUGUAAAAUUCUGAGUGUUAUAUUGCGUGAUAGUGGAUGGAUAUGUGUUCCACUGAAGCCGAUAUUUCAACACCUAGAAUAGCAGAUGCUUUUAAUGUAUGUUCAAAUGUAAUUAGGAAUAGCCACGCGCAUCAGAUAACUGCAUACAGUCGAACCUCGUUGUGUCGAAGUCGAAGGGACCAGACAAAAGUAUUCGAUUCAUCCGAGGUCGAGUGUGACGUCAUAUAUUUGAAAUGUAUGAAAUACCAAUAUGUGAUUUCUGUAAACUAAAUGCAUGUUUAUUGAUAUUUUUAGAUAUGAUAAUACAUGUAUAUGAUUGUGUAUUUAUGUUCUGUAUUUUUAAAGAUUCAACACACAACAUUCACAAAUAAAAUCAAUACACAAUUAUUUACAAAGGGCACUAUAAAUUAUGGAAUCACUUGCGAAAAUAUUUUCAUAACUAAUCUUAAAAGAAUGUGAACAGUGUCCAUAGACUAAAAAGACCGACUCAUAAUAAUUAAUAAAAUAUUUUAAUCCUUUUAAUUAUUGUUCUUAUUCUAAUGGUUAAUUUAAUCUCAGCUUGGGUCAUUAAAAUUUGUUUCGUUUUUAUACCAAGUGAAAUAUGGUUCAGCACAUUCAAGUUCCGCUUGGACGAUCAACAAAGAUGUUGAUAAGCGGGCAUCAUAAACAUGUCAUUUUAACUGUUUUAAUCACUUAUGGAAAUGAAUAGGUUAAACAAGAAAAAACAUUUUUUUUUUUUCAUUUUGAACUUCAAGACAUCAGGGUCAAUUUACAUCAAUUUUACAACGACGGGACUUAACAAUUACCUUGACUUAACUGGGAAUUCCAAUCAUCCCAGUUCGAUUCAUUAGAGGUUAAAAUGCAUUAAUCAAACGAGAAUUAUGCCGGGACCGAGAAAUUACUUCGACUCAUCCGAGUUUUCGACACAACCGAGUUUGACACAACGAGGUUCUACUGUAUGUGGUUUGCUUGUCAGUUGUUAUGAAAGCAUUAACACAGAACAUAUAGUUCAUGACUCUGUGUGACGUUCAAGUAUGACUGUGAACAACGGGUGUAAGGAAAAAUGGUCAUAUCGACCAAAGUUUAAUUUCUGGCGUUCAAUUAUGAAUAAAGAACUUCAUGUUCCUACGGUAGUAUGCUCACUUCACGAGUCAGAUAUCGUAAUUUACAAACAGUCCAUAUCAAGCAUGAUACCAAUGUUGGUCUUGAUCGUGUAAAUCAUGUUCUAUGGUCACCCAUCCAUCUCCAUGAUAUGGCUUCCCUUCAACAACAUCACCAAAACGUGGCAAUGAAAUUUGCAAAUGCAAGUUGAUUUCUUAUAUUACAAUUGAUCAAACACAAACACAGAAUAAUAAGUCGUGAACGGCGAUGUUGUUACCAUACGUUUAUCGAAGAUCCCUUCGAGACGAUAGAUGGUAGCUGGACCAAGAAGUCAGUAGACUGGUAGAUGAAUUUGAAAGAUCUCGUGGUUUGAGUCAUUCCACAACAUAAACGACGUCAUGAAGACUCUACGAAAACACAAAAAGAUUUCUUCGAAAAACUUUAAAGGCUUUCUAAAGUGAUGAACAAGUUUGAUAAGCCAUUUCUAGAAGAGUCAUCAGAUUUGUACAAAAUUUACUCUUUUAAGGACGUUUUUGAUUCAGAAGUAGGUAAGAUAUGUAUAUAAACUCCAAGAUAUUGGGUCCAAACAGCAUGAUCUUUUGAAGCAAACCAAAACGAAAGGGAAUCUGCUUUUUUAACCGGAUGAAAAAGAACAUUUCCAUAUAAGAGCCGUAAAAUGAAACUGGAAACUUCUUUGUCAAAAAACAAAGCUACAGUACAAGAACACUGAUUGCGUUCUCUUUUCUAGAUUUUUUAUUUCUUCUUUAGCCAUUAAAACCAAACUGCUCCUCCGUCUAUGUGUCAGGAUGUGGUAUUAAAUCGCAGCAAAGGUAUACUUGAAAAAUUCUGCGAUUUGCCAUCAACUGAUCCAAAUUCUGACGCAUUUAUUGUUGGUGGGGCAGCAAUGGUUAAUUUAUUGCCACCACUUGUGCCAAACAUAUUUGACGACUAUGUAAAUGAUACCAUACUGCCUUACAUAAAUCUUUCGAUAAUAAGUAUCCAAGAGUAGACAUCGAUUUGUUGUUUACUAAAUAAAUUAUUUAAAAGCUGGGACGAAAAAUUAUAGGCAAAGAACUGGUUUUAGACGGAAAGAUGUUGGUUCUGGUAGAACGCCAAGGGUUUGGAAUAGUUUUCUCUGAAGUUGGCAACAAAACGGAAUGUGUCUAAGUUUCUUGCCGACAGAAUUGCUUCUUAAGAAACUAAUGAAAAUGCUUAUGCUACUGAAGUUGAAAAUGUACUUUGCAAUUUCAAUAUGAUACGUCCAAGAUAUCCCGUUGUAACCAUGAAUAAGGAGAUACACGAAAGAUUGUCCAUGAUAAGCAUGCUGCUGAAAAUGGUAGUAUAAAGUAAUUUUAAGUAGUACUGACAUAGAUGUAGUAGUAUUAGGAAUUGCAGUGCUCGCAAGAUUGUGGACAAAUUGUGGAUAGGUUUUUAGAGGAAUAAAUACUUUCUGUACAUGUCAUAUUAAAUGUGUUUGGUCCUCGUGUAGCAGCUUUUCCUUUCUUCAAUGCAUUUAGUGGGUGUGACAUUAAGUCGGCAUUUCAUCGGAAAGUGAAAAAGUCAGCUUGGCAGACAUUAGAAGUAUUCUCAAAUGUAACGGGCAUUUUUUUCCGAUUUUGUAUGAAGACACAGACAUGGACAUCAUAAAAGUAUUUUUUGCAUCAUGUACGGAAACAUCACCAUUUGCUGUUAAGGAAACACAAUUAAAAUCGUUUGCAAGGAAGGAGCGGCCUUAUUAUGCUAUUCCGCCUACCACAAAAUCAAUAUGAUCACCUGUGGUAGGCGGAAUAGCAUCAGAAGGCCGCUGCUUCCUUGCAAACGAUUUUUAUCUUCUGGACCACAUCAAAGGAGAAUCAUGUAUCAAGGUGGACAUGUUUGGGCUAGUCUGGAUUUAUGCAUUCGACAGGUUCAUGUACCAAGUCAUGACCACAGGAGUUGGGUUAAAGAAAAAAAAAAGAAUGAUUAUUGGAAACCAAAAUGGACUUCCUUGUUGGCCGCUGAUCCUCGUGUCAAGAUUUUUUUAAAUGCGGAUACCAGAAAUUCAGCUGUGUUGGUAACUGUAAAUAAUACCGUUCAGGCCUUCCGUGUACAUGUUUGUGUAUUGGUAACUGUCAGAUAAUUAUAAGAUAAGCAACCUGUCUUUCUAAACAAACUAAAUAUGCAUUUGAACUUUAAAAAAGUCAGGAAUAUCUCUUGUUACGAUGAUAGAAAUGAUAAAAUUGACAUUUUCCACAUUAAGCCCCCAUUUUGAGACCGGAAGUCACGCUUUUUCUUCAUGUAGGUAUUUUUUCUUCGUACUUUAGAAAUUGUACUUUAAGUUUUAUCAAAACUGACAUUGUAUUAUACCUAUUCUUCUAGGUUUCAAAUGAUUUACGAAAUGUAACCAAUUGCAUAUGACGCCAUUUGCAAAAUGAGCGGUGGCCAUCUUGAGAAAAAAAUGAGAUAUUUUUUAUGGCCAGCAGCUGAUUUUUUUAUAAUUAUCAUUUUGUCUACCCAUAUACCAAAUUUCAUGCUUGUAUCACGAUUUGCACAAUUAUGUCCAUAAUAUCUCCCACUAUGUAACGAAUUUGUCAAGUAUUGUUUGUUCAAAAUCUUCAUAAUAGCAUUUUAUAGCUGACUAUGCAGUAUGGGCUUGGCUAAUUGUUGAAGGCCGUACUGUGACCUAUAGUUGUUAAUGUAUAUCAGUUUGGUCCAGGGUUUCCCCUAAGUCAAUUAUUUUUUUCGCCACCUCUUUCGCAAAAACAAUAUAUUUUUCGCCACUUUAUUAUUUUUUUCGCCAAGUAACAUCACUAUAUUUUUCGUUUAAAAUUAACCUUUUUUUCUUACCCCCUCCCCUUUUCCCUUAAAUAAGGUGAUUUUGCCCCAUUGUGUCUAUGAUUAUUCUGUCAAACUUAUUUUAGAGUCUACAUUUAAUGAAUAAACACUAAACAUUUACUUUAAAACAACAGAUUUUGUUUUUAACAUAAAAGGGAAAAAUAUUCAUUGUAUUUUAAACAUCUUUUCUAAAUGAGGGGGCCACUAUACUUUUAAUAAUAAAGAAGAUAUAAGUCCUGGAAUACAACAAAAUUAAUGGACAUGUUUUGAUUAUAUAAUACCAGUAUAGUUCGUAGGGAAAGUUUCUUUAAAAGAAAAAUAUUGAUGUGCCCUUUUGUACUAAGAAGUGGUUUUUACAACAAAACAAAAGCUUUUAUCACAUGAUAUUUUGAUCCCUCAUUUCAUGUGUAGUCAUAAGAUUGAAGGGCUACUCUCAUUAGAGGGUUUGUUCCUAACCUUUUAGAUAGAUUUCUUCAUAACGACAGUUUUCUUUUCUUGACCAUCGUAAAUGAAAAAGUUGAGACGUAAAACUAUGCUUGAAACACACGUGUCACUCAAACGACUUAAAGUAGUCUCCCUAAUCAAUUACCUAUAUUAAAGUCAAAGGAUAAUUAAAGUUUUAAAUCAGAGAUUUUUCUUGCUUUUGAAAAUUUUUCGUCACAACAUCAGCUUUCUUUUCUAAACUAUCUUUAAAAGGAGAGGAGACGUCAAAAGUUUGCUUCAAACACGUGCGUCGCAAAGUGGUAAAUACAUUCUGUAUGUGACAUUUAGCGGAAGCCAUUUAACCAUUCAGUCAACACCUUUAUUAAUUAGUCCUUUGUUGUCGAUAGCUAUAAAAUGCAAUCAGCUGAUUAAUGAUUUUCUGUCCAAAUCUUAAUGAGGUCAAGGUGAAUUCCGAGUAUUGUCUGAUGAGGUAAAGUCCGAGAAACUCGAAAAAAGUAAAUAAACAAGAUGGAGGAAAAUAAAUGGUUCUAUAUAUUUCUUUCGCCAAAUUCUUUCGCAAAUGACGAAUUUUUAUCGCCACAAUUAUUAUUUUUUCGCAAAUUGCGAAAAUGGCGACCGCCAGCGGAAACCCUGGUUUGGUCUCUUGUGGGCAGUUGUCUCAUCGGCAAUCAUACCACAUCUUCUUUUUUAUAUAACUAAUUAAAAUUGGAAUUUAUUGUCGAUAAGUAUUAUUAUAACCUUGAUUUUCGCUCCCUAAGACACAUUAUAACACUUUUCUUCCAUUAGAUUAAGUCUGAUAGCAUUGAGAGCAGCAUAUACAAAUGCACGUAUUAUAAAACUUUGGUUAAAUAAUGCAACUUGUAAAUUUAAAAUAUUUAAUGGGAUAUGACAUUGUGCUUGUGCUGUGAUGAAAUGAAAUAUUCUAAUAUGACGUGCUUCUUUCGCUUUGUAAACAACACUGUGAUAAAAUUUUCGAGAUAUCUAUACUUAGCGCAGACUCAGAGAUAUACAUAAUAAUCGCUGUUACAAUUUACUUCCCACGUAAAUCUACAUGUAUUGGAACUUAUUUGCAGACCAUUUGGCGAUUUUAUUGAUUUAAAAAGUGCAAUUAUAAAAAGACAUAAUAUGUUAUUCUUAUUCGGAUGCAUAAUAAAAAGAAGUAAUGCACAAGAGCUCAUAAAAAUAAAAUUCCGCGAAAGUCUAUUAUUUGCGCAUUUUAGUCAUUUCAAAACAUGACGUCAUACAAAUGAAACUGCUAAAGUUGAAAGUUUUCUGUAACGUGAACCAUCCAAAUUCGUAUGAUAUUGUAUUAAAACUGAUUUUUGAGGUAGGUUUUGUUUUCUAUUCCAUUCUAUUGCAUUAUUUGCAUAUUUACUAAUUUCAGCAAAUCAACAUGGCGGC